rnacentral:rRNA from 1 species
GCUCUGGCUGGGCGGCCCACCAAUUGGCUGGCACUGCCUUCGGCUGGGGUUCACCUUCUGGUGAGCCGUCAUGUCCAUCAUUGGGUGUGGCGAGGAACCAGGACUUUUACCUUGAAAAAAUUAGAGUGUUUAAAGCAGGCCUAUGCCUGAAUACAUUAGCAUGGAAUAAUAAAAUAGGACGUGCGGUUCUAUUUUGUUGGUUUCUAGAGUCGCCGUA